AUACUAUGUGGGGAUCGAUAGAGGUGGGUGUUCAAGUUGGGAAGUGUUGGGAUUGUGAAGGUAGUGUACUAUCAUGCAAACCUCUGCUCUUGUUUGCAUCUUACUGGUGGCAACCACUUUGUGAUACCUGUUACGGGACUUCCUUAUGAGUUUACUGAGGUUGAGUCCAAGUAUGUGUAUUUAAUUAAGUUUUGGGGAAGCAGCGAUGAAAUCAUGUGUAUUAAGUUCAAGAUGCCUACUUCGGCUACCACAUUGAAUGGGACAACAAGUGUUCAAAACCUUGAACUGGCAGAGGAAGCUGAACACAAAGAACCAGCUAUCGUUUGAAAAAGUCUCGUUGUUUAUUUUGUUUUCAUUCAGCAAAUAAUUGAGUCAUACUCCGUUGCCUCUAGUGAAGGAGUAGAGUAACUCACUUUCUUUUUCAACUUUGUUGCUUCCACGUUUCAAGGGGUUCAGGUUCCUACA